CCUACGGGGUGCACCAGUGGGGGAUAUUGGACAAUGGGCGAAAGCCUGAUCCAGCAUGCCGCGUGUGUGAAGGAGGUCUUCGGAUUGUAAAGCACUUUCGACGGGGACGAUGAUGACGGUACCCGUAGAAGAAGCCCCGGCUAACUUCGUGCCAGCAGCCGCGGUAAUACGAAGGGGGCUAGCGUUGCUCGGAAUGACUGGGCGUAAAGGGCGCGUAGGCGGUUAAUGCAGUCAGAUGUGAAAUCCCCGGGCUUAACCUGGGAACUGCAUUUGAGACGUAUAGACUAGAGGUCGAGAGAGGGUUGUGGAAUUCCCAGUGUAGAGGUGAAAUUCGUAGAUAUUGGGAAGAACACCGGUGGCGAAGGCGGCAACCUGGCUCGAUACUGACGCUGAGGCGCGAAAGCGUGGGGAGCAAACAGGAUUAGAUACCCGAGUAGUC
rnacentral:rRNA from 1 species